rnacentral:lncRNA from 10 species
AGCCAUCCAGGGAAAGGGGUGGGACUAAGGCAAUGGGCGUGGCCAACCGAGGAGGCAGAGGUAGUAAAGAGAGCCAACCGUUAUAACUGAGGGAGGGCUUCUCAGACGUGGUUGGAGGAGAAGGGGUGGAGCUAGGAAAGAGGGACGGAGUUAAUGUGGGAAGGAGGAGCAGGACCAAGGAGGAGAACACUGAGAACCAGAAAUUAGUACUGAAACUGGAGAGCAUCCCGAAUGGAAACAGCAGCCACCAACCUCCACAGGGCCUGCCGGGACCACCCUGCAGGGUGGUGGCCUGGGAGAGGACCCCAUGCCACAGCCAGGGCCCAUGUGAGAUGGUGUAUAGAGGGACUGUGCUUUGGGGCUGCCAUCACUGCAGAUACCUGAGGGGAAGGCUCCAGCUCUUCUGUCCCCACCCCAGAAUCUGCUGUGCACUGAAGGCAAAGGACUCUAGGGUGGCCUGACCCAGCCAGGGCUGUAGGGUGAAGCCCACUUGCCUCCAGCUGCACAGUUGGCCACAGAACAUCUGGGAUACCUGGCCAAGCCUGGGAGGCAGCUCUCACCAAUACCCUCCAUGUGCCCUGUAGAAUUUCCACCGUGUUCACUGAGAGCACUCUCCAUCAGCAAAAAGGAUCCAUGGUGCUGCUCAUUCUGGCCACUGGUCCCCACUCCUUAUGAAGGCAUCUCCCUCAGAACAUGGUCUCCAAGGGCCCGAGGGUGUGUCCUCACAGAACAUUCUGCACAGCAUUGAGUAGCAGGUUGCUAAAGCUGGAAGCUCCUUGAAGCUUUUCCAGCGGCCCCUUUGGAGGAAAUUCAGGGUCGCUGAUCAAUUUCAGUUACUUCACAAUGCAAAACUUCAAGCUUGCUGCCUUGUUAACAACAAUCGUCAACACUUGUGUGUCUCUUCAUGGCAUACACAUGCACUCUCACAUCUAUUACUUCAUCCGUUUUCACAAUCCAUCUCGAGGAUGAGGAAACU